rnacentral:ncRNA from 1 species
GUGAAAACGAUGAGGGAGAAGAGUAGAUCUUCCGCUCCCUGACAGGGAUAAGGGGUCGGCGAUUGAGAGCCCCUUACAGGUGAUGAAGAUGGAAUUCACUCCUGAGUGAGCCCUUGAACGAUUUAGAGUAGAGGGCUACGGUGAGAGCCGUUAUCUGUUUGAGGUGGAGCAGAAUAUUCUGCUCAAUAAGGGUGGUACCGCGAACCUUUCGUCCCUGAC